CGACCGCGGGCAUAAGGCGAAAGCCUGUGCGUGAGGAAAGUCCGGGCUCCAUAGGGCAAGGAUAACGGGUAACGCCCGCCGGGGGCGACCCCAGGAAAAGUGCAACAGAGAUAUACCGCUGGCCUCCGGCCAGUAAGGGUGGAAAGGCGAGGUAAGAGCUCACCCAAUGGCGUGUGAAAGCGUCCAUUGCUGUAAACUCUAUCCGGAGCAACGCCGUGGAGGAACAUAUGGUUGGCCCGACCGUUCCAGGGAGGCGGCUUGAUUCCGCGAGCAAUUGCGGAACUAGAUAGAUGGCUGUCAAGACAGAAC
rnacentral:RNase_P_RNA from 1 species